rnacentral:rRNA from 1 species
AGAGUUUGAUCAUGGCUCAGAACGUACGCUGGCGGCACGCCUUAUACAUGCAAGUCGAACGAAGUAGCAAUACUUAGUGGCAGACGGGUGAGUAACAUGUAGGUAUCUACCCUUUGGUGAGGAAUAACACGAGGAAACUUGUGCUAAUACCUCAUAAGUCUUUACGGAGAAAGCUUUAUGCGCCGAAGGAUGAGCCUGCACUUGAUUAGUUUGUUGGUGGGGUAAUGGCCUACCAAGACUUUGAUCUAUAGCUGAUCUGAGAGGAUGAUCAGCCACAUUGGGACUGAGACACGGCCCAAACUCCUACGGGAGGCAGCAGUAGGGAAUAUUGCACAAUGGAGGAAACUCUGAUGCAGCGAUGCCGCGUGAGUGAAGAAGGCCUUUGGGUUGUAAAGCUCUUUCGUCGGGGAAGAAAAUGACUGUACCCGAAUAAGAAGGUCCGGCUAACUUCGUGCCAGCAGCCGCGGUAAUACGAAGGGACCUAGCGUAGUUCGGAAUUACUGGGCUUAAAGAGUUCGUAGGUGGUUAAAAAAGUUGGUGGUGAAAUCCCAGAGCUUAACUCUGGAACUGCCAUCAAAACUUUUUAGCUAGAGUAUGAUAGAGGAAAGCAGAAUUUCUAGUGUAGAGGUGAAAUUCGUAGAUAUUAGAAAGAAUACCAAUUGCGAAGGCAGCUUUCUGGAUCAUUACUGACGCUGAGGAACGAAAGCAUGGGUAGCGAAGAGGAUUAGAUACCCUCGUAGUCCAUGCCGUAAACGAUGUGUGUUAGACGUUGGAAAUUUAUUUUCAGUGU